UCUUGAGGUCACAAACUAUCUGGUUGAUUAGGAUUGAGAAUUUCGUGUUUACAUCUUGGGCCAGUUAGAUACCAUUACUUUGUAGACAUGGCAUGGGCUAGUUGGACAAAGACUACUAGGGCGUCGUCAUAGGGAAAGUUUAAUCAUUUGGUGUCCUGCUCUGAAAAGCCGAUGAUUGGUUCAAGUACAAUAUAUAUGGCUUAAUCUUGGAAUACCGAUCUUGCCCGUAUGAUCUUCCUUUUCUUACAGCAACUGGUGGCCCCUAAGUGAUUGGCCCAGACAAAGAUGUAGUUAAUUUAAAUGACAUUGGUAGGUGGUUCUGCAUUUUCUUAUACAUUUCGCCUGGGCUGCAUUGCUGGCUUGUCUAGAUAUUUGUCAUACUUACCUUUCUUCACUAGCUUUUUAAGGUACUUAUUCCACUUAAAGCAACUACUUUUAGUGUGGCCUGGGCCUUAGUGGAAUGCGCAAUGCUUCGAGUGGUCCAGUUGGACACCAUCACUCUAUCGACCAUGGCAUGGGCCAAUUGGACAAUAAUCAUCAAGUGUCAUCAUGCGGGAAGUCUACUUCUUUAGCAUCAUACUCUGAGAAUCCGAUGAUACAACAUCUACGACUUAAACCUAGAAGACCAAUCUUGCUUGCUGGAUCUUCCUCUUCUUAGAACUGUUGGUAGCCCUCAAGUGCUUGGACCUGAUAAAGACGUGUUUAUUCAAAUGACCUUGGCAUGUGGUUUUGUAUUUUCUUAUGUGUUUUGCCUGGGCUACGCUGCUUGCUUGUCUAGGUAUUUGUUACACAUGUCUUCUUUUACCAGUUUUUCGAGGUACUUCUUCAACUUGAAGUAGCUAUAUGUAGUGUGGCUUGAUUCUUGAAGGAAUGCGCAAUUCUUUGAAUGGUCCAACUUAGAUAAGUUUACCUUUGUAAAUCGCGGCAGCUUGAACAUGAUUCGUUCUUGAGGUCGUAGAAGAUCUGGUUAAGCGGGACUAAGAACUACGUGUUUAUGUCUUGGGCCAGUUGAACACCAUCACUUUGUGGGCCAUGACAUAGGCCAGUUGGACAAAGAUCACCAAGAUGUCGUAAUUAAGAAAGCCUAUUUCUUUGGUGUCUUGCUUUGAGAAGCUGAUGAUUGGUUCACGUACAACAUCUAUAUCUUGAACUUGGAAAACUAAUUUCGCCUGCUGGAUUUUCUUUUUCCUUGGAACUGUUGGGGGCUUCCAAGUGCUUGGACUUGGCGAAGAUGUUAUUAAUUCAGAUGAUCUUGGUAGGUGGUUAUUUUCUUUUACGUCUCACUUGGGUUGUGCUGCUGGCUUGUCUAGGUAUUUGUCACGCAUGCCUUCAUUCACUAGUUUUCGAGGUAUUUUUUUCCACUUAAAGCAGCUAUCUGUAAUGUGGACUGGGCUUCGGUGGAAUGCGUAGUGUUUCUAGAGGUCUAGCUUAAAGGUGUCUCCCUUUGAAGAUGAAGCCAACUUGAACCAUGAUUUGUUUUGAAGUCACGAAUGAUCUAGUUGAUUGGGACAUAGAACUUCUGUUUAAAUCUUGGGUUUAUUGGACACCAUCAUUAUAUCUACCAUGGCAUAAGCGAACUGGACAGAGAUCAACAAGGCAUUAUCAUAUGGGAAUUCUACUAUUUUGGCAUCUUGCUCUGAGAAGCUGAUGAUUGGUUCAUGUACAGCAUCUACGGCUUGAACCUGGAAGACCGAUCUCAUAUGCUGGAUAUUUCUCUUCUUGGAGUUGUUGGUGGUUAGGACCCGACAAAGAUGUAGUUGAUGCUGUUGAUCAUGACAGGUGGCUUUGCAUUUUCUUAUUUGUCUCACUUGGACUGCACCGCGCUACUAGCUUAUCUAGGUAUUUGUCACACAUGCCUUCCUUCACCAGCAUUUCGAGGUACUUCUUCCCCUUGAAACAGAUUGGAAGUGUCUCCAUUUGAAGAUGGCAGCAGCUUGAACUAUGAUUCAUUCUUAAGGUCGCGAAAAAUAUGAUUGAUCAAGACUAAAA
rnacentral:lncRNA from 1 species